CCGAGUUUUUUUCAACUCCCAAACCCCACGCGAACCGUACCCAUCGUUGCUUCGGCGCGGCGGCCCCGGAUUCGCGCGCGCUUAUGCGCGUGCGGCCCGGAACGAGGCCCCCGCCGGAGACCCCAACCUAAACUCUUUGCGUGCCAAGCGAGACCUCCUAGGAGGGCGAGCGCGGCCUUUAUUCUGAGUGGCCCCUUUUGGGGCAGAGCAAAAACAAAUGAAUCA
rnacentral:misc_RNA from 1 species